CGGCAAGCUAGGCUGGCGCGUUAGCCCUGCGCUGUUACCAUAAAUGGGCUUCAUGAUGGGGCUGAAGCGGGAUGAGGCUUCGUCCUGCGGCUUUGGUCCUGGUCACUACUGUGAGGCUCUGUCCUGUCGGGCAGUCAUCUUUGAAAACCACGUCAGGUCCGGAAGGAAGCAGCGUUAAUUGAUUUUGGCUGUGCUCUCAGGGAGCGGAGCUGAGGAACAGCCAGGGGAAACCCUAACCGUAUGACGCUGCCGAUUCCCUGCGGCUUGCCG
rnacentral:SRP_RNA from 1 species